rnacentral:lncRNA from 1 species
CUUUGCCUUCUUCACAACCUUGUGUUAUACUGUGAGAUGUGGAUCCUUUAAAUAUUACAGGAACUUGCAUGGCUUGUGUACAGGAUACAACAUUUCCUGGGAGUGUUCUCAGCCUAGGUGGUGAAAGACUGCUUUAAACUCAUGGGGACAACUGAGAGUGACAAGAGGCAUUAUUUUGUUGAGACUUUUCAAUCAUCAUGAUGUUGAUGGCACUGUCUACAAAACUAUCACCACUGGAUUGCCCCUCUUCAGCGGGCAAGGCAGCAGCAGCACCAAUAGGUGGUGUCCCAAUCCUGUAGCCCUCUGGUGAGUGGGGAUAUUGAGAUGAACCAUCGCCCUAUUAGACCAACUAAAAGUCCACAGGAUAAAAAUUGUAAUCUUGGUCCCCCACUUCAUUAAUGGCUAGCGUCAUUACUAUUGUAGUGUUGAAAACACAUGACAUUGCUGAACUGUGGCUGUUCGUCAACUCUUGAUAUUAAACAAUAGAGAAUCUUCUUACCGCCCUCAGAUAGUU